UUGAGAGUGGCGGACGGGUGAGUAACACGUAGGUAAUCUACCUAGAAGUUGGGGAUAGCCUGUGGAAACACAGGGUAAUACCGAAUGAGACCAUGUAAAUGGUGAAAGAGGCUAAGGCCUCGCUUUUAGUUGAGCCUGCGGCUCAUUAGCUAGUUGGUGGGGUAACGGCCUACCAAGGCGACGAUGAGUAGCCGGCCUGAGAGGGCGACCGGUCACACUGGGACUGAGACACGGCCCAGACUCCUACGGGAGGCAGCAGCUAAGAAUCUUCCGCAAUGGUCGAAAGGCUGACGGAGCGACGCCGCGUGGACGAAGAAGGCCGGAAGGUUGUAAAGUCCUUUUCUCAGAGAAGAAUAAUGUGGGGAGGGAAUGCCCUACAGAUGACGUUAUCUGAGGAAGAAGCCCCGGCUAAUUACGUGCCAGCAGCCGCGGUAACACGUAAGGGGCAAGCGUUGUUCGGAAUUAUUGGGCGUAAGGGGCGCGUAGGCGGCUGAGCAAGCCUGGUGUGAAAGGCCACAGCUUAACUGUGGGAGUGCGCUGGGAACUGCUUGGCUGGAGUUCAGGAGGGGAAUCUGGAAUUCCUGGUGUAGGGGUGAAAUCUGUAGAUAUCAGGAAGAACACCUGUGGCGAAGGCGAGAUUCUGGCCAUGAACUGACGCUGAGGCGCGAAAGCGUGGGGAGCGAACAGGAUUAGAUACCCUGGUAGUCCACGCUGUAAACGAUGUGCACUAGGUGUUGGCUGUUGUAACGGUCAGUGCCGAAGCAAACGCGAUAAGUGCACCGCCUGGGGAGUAUGCUCGCAAGGGUGAAACUCAAAGGAAUUGACGGGGGCCCGCACAAGCGGUGGAGCAUGUGGUUUAAUUCGAUGAUACGCGAGGAACCUUACCAGGGCUUGACAUAUGCAUGACGGUCGUAGAGAUACGGCUUCCCUUCGGGGCGUGCAUACAGGUGCUGCAUGGUUGUC
rnacentral:rRNA from 1 species